UACAGAGGUGGCAAGCGUUGUUCGGAUUUACUGGGCGUAAAGGGUCCGUAGGCGGUUUGGAAAGUUGAAUGUGAAAUCCCGCAGCUCAACUGCGGAACUGCAUUCAAAACUUCCAGACUAGAGUAUGAGAGGGGUUAAGGGAAUUCCCGGUGUAAGGGUGAAAUCUGCAGAGAUCGGGAGGAACACCAGUCGCGAAGGCGCUUAACUGGCUCAUUACUGACGCUCAGGGACGAAAGCUAGGGUAGCAAACGGG
rnacentral:rRNA from 1 species